AAAAGUUUUGAUCCACCUCUGGUGAAAAAGACAAAUUUCCGCCGAUUCAGUUGGAAGCGGGUCAAAUUUGAACUGUAGCUGCCUCGUAGUUUGCUCUUUAUUUUUUCCAAAAAUCAUUUCUAGGUACAUAAGUAUCUUUUUAAUCAAAGAAACACCAACAAAAUUCCAAGAUUCAACCACUAGCUAGGAACGGUCAUUCCCGCCGUUUUGACCGCAUUUUGAAACGGGCAUAAAAAAUUCAAAAAAAAAUCAAAAAAUUGGGAAACCUUCGCAUUGUGUCAUCAUAUGUGGCCAAGUUCCUAGGAAAAAUAACAAACUUGUAAUAUGGCAAUUAUCUUAAAAAAGUGUUCUCAGAAACGAGCUAUUAUGUGUGGAGAUCAAUGGCUUUCAAACCAAAUGAUCAAUCUUAUGGCCACAUCCAUGGCAUAGUUUGUUCAAAUGAUCUCAUAUUGUGCACAAGGGUGCAUAUUGGAAUGGCAAACAAUGUUGCCUAAGGAAGUUUUCAUUUUCUUUGGACGAAAAAACCAUUUUCCAUUUUUCGAGUGCCCGAAAGGAGGUUUUUUUAUGAACGAACUACCAAAUAAUUGUUGCAAAAUUGGACCAAAUCAUUUUUAUAAAAUACUAGGCCAUAUUUAAUGCACAAUUGACCAAAUGGUUGGGUGAAAAAAGUUUUGAUCCACCUCUGGUGAAAAAGACAAAUUUCCGCCGAUUUAGGUGGAAGCGGGUCAAAUUUGAACUGUAGCUGCCUCGUAGUUUGCUCUUUAUUUUUUCCAAAAAUCAUUUCAAGGUACAUAAGUAUCUUUUUAAUCAGAGAAACACCAACAAAAUUCCAAGAUUCAACCACUAGCUAGGAACGGUCAUUCCCGCCGUUUUGACCGCAUUUUGAAACGGGCAUAAAAAAUUCAAAAAAAUCAAAAAAUUGGGAAACCUUCGCAUUGUAUCAUCAUAUGUGGCCAAGUUCCUAGGAAAAAUA
rnacentral:lncRNA from 1 species